rfam:Gossypium arboreum cultivar AKA8401 contig_22812_5, whole genome shotgun sequence.
AACCCAUUGUGAAGGCACCUUCUCAACAAGUCUUUGUGUCUCUCCCAUAUGUCAUAAAGAGUUUCUAAAUCCAUCUGCAUAAAAGAAGAGAUAUCAUUCCUUAAUUU